UUACGGCCAUAUCACGUUGAAACACCGGUACCCGUUCGAUCACCGAAGUUAAGCAAAUUCGAGCCUGGUCUGUAUCUGGAUCGGUGACAACUCGGGAAUGAC